GACAUGGGGGGCAAACGUUAUCCGGAAUUAUUGGGCGUAAAGAGCUCGUAGGCGGUCAGUCGCGUCGGUCGUGAAAGCCCGAGGCUCAACCUGGGAAUUGCGGUCGAUACGGGCUGACUAGAGUUCGGUAGGGGAGACUGGAAUUCCUGGUGUAGCAGUGAAAUGCGUAGAUAUCAAGUGGAACACCAGUGGCGAAGGCGAGUCUCUGGACAUUUCCUGACGCUGAGGCACGAAAGCCAGGGGAGCAAACGGG
rnacentral:rRNA from 1 species